rnacentral:rRNA from 1 species
UACGGAGGGUGCGAGCGUUGUCCGGAAUCAUUGGGCGUAAAGGGCGCGUAGGUGGCGGGACAAGCGUGCGGUGAAAGCCUGGGGCUCAACCCCGGGUCGGCCGUGCGAACUGUUUUGCUUGAGCACUGUAGAGGCAGGCAGAAUUCCGGGUGUAGCGGUGGAAUGCGUAGAGAUCCGGAAGAACACCGGUGGCGAAGGCGGUGAGCUGGGCAGUUGCUGACACUGAGGCGCGACAGCGUGGGGAGCAAACGGG